rnacentral:rRNA from 1 species
UACGUAGGGACCGAGCGUUGUCCGGAUUUAUUGGGCGUAAAGAGCUCGUAGGCGGCUCAGUAAGUCAGGUGUGAAACCUCCAGGCUCAACCUGGAGACGCCACCUGAUACUGCUGUGGCUAGAGUCCGGUAGGGAGCGUGGAAUUCCUGGUGUAGCGGUGAAAUGCGCAGAUAUCAGGAGGAACACCCAGCGGCGGAAGGCGGCGCUCUGGGCCGGAACUGACG